UCAAGGUACUGCUGUACGCUGAGAUCCCGGUAUCAAUCGAUACCUCUAAAUUCCCGUAGCAGACCCUCGCUAUGUGAUUUAGAACCUCUUCUACACGUCGACAAGAUGAUUAUCUUGUAUUGCCAGCCCGUCUUCAGGCUGGCUUUUUUUUAU
rnacentral:ncRNA from 1 species